CGGGGAAGCUGAACAUAAUUUCAUCGCUUCGACAAACAGGUUCAAGGUGACCCUUGGAAGAUGCGAUUACAAUCAUUCAAACCAGUCCAGUCCAGUCCAUACAGUAUUGUUAAGAUGCGCAUGAUGCAACUUCCUGGAUGGUGCUGAGCCUGUUUGUCAACAUGUGGAACCCACGUGUACUUAGGGGAGUAGUCUCCCUUGUUAAAGAUCAACAAUGGCGGAUAAACAAUGCGGGAUGCUGUCUUGUCACCAAUGGUGAAAUUUGACACCUGUAUACCCGUAUUUCAAUCAAUCAUCUCAGUCCUCUUUGUUGUGUACAUCAGACAGAUGAUGGACCACUCUACUUCCUUUUACAACAGGUGCCCCUACAGAUUCACAAAGUUCCAAUGUUGAAUUUCCAUGACCCUGAUUGAUCCGCGACAGGAGAAGGAAUGAAGUUGGCAGGACUUUCCGCACUGUCCUUGGUAACAGCUGAUGAUGGAACGGACAGCAGUUUACAUGGCCCGUUUCA